rnacentral:rRNA from 1 species
UGGGAACCUUCCCUAUGGUUCGGAAUAGCCCGGGGAAACUUGGGGUAAUACCGAAUAAGCCCUUCGGGGAAAGAUUUAUCGCCAUUGGAUGGGCCCGCGUCGGAUUAGCUAGUUGGUGGGGUAACGGCCCACCAAGGCGACGAUCCGUAGCUGGUCUGAGAGGAUGAUCAGCCACACUGGGACUGAGACACGGCCCAGACUCCUACGGAAGGCAG